rnacentral:rRNA from 1 species
CCUACGGGUGGCAGCAGUGGGGAAUAUUGGGCAAUGGGCGCAAGCCUGACCCAGCAACGCCGCGUGAAGGAAGAAGGCUUUCGGGUUGUAAACUUCUUUUCUCAGGGACGAGAAGAGUGACGGUACCUGAGGAAUAGGCCACGGCUAACUACGUGCAAGCGGCCGCGGUAAUACGUAGGUGGCAAGCUUUAUCCGGAUUUAUUGGGUGUAAAGGGCGUGUAGGCGGGUUCGCAAGUCAGAUGUGAAACCUCAGGGCUCAACCCUGAGCCUGCAUUUGAAACUGUGUUUCUUGAGUGCUGGAGAGGCAAUCGGAAUUCCGUGUGUAGCGGUGAAAUGCGUAGAUAUACGGAGGAACACCAGUGGCGAAGGCGGAUGGCUGGACAGCAACUGACGCUGAGGCGCGAAAGCGUGGGGAGCAAACAGGAUUAGAUACCCUAGUAGUC